GAAUCAUAAUUCAUCUAGAUACAUAAGUAUAACGCAGCCAUAAUUGAAUCACUCCUUCACUAGGAAUCAGACAACCUUGCUACUUGGAGAAACUUUGCAAAAUUGCAAGCCACCAAUCCAAAAGCCAGAAACAAACAGCGGGGCGAGCAGUUACGAGUACGACACGAUCUGGAAAGCUGCCCCGAUUGGGCAGCUCAGCUCAGCGCCUCCCCCGUGCCCCGUCUGCCAAAGCUCCCCGCUUUCCCCUCUCAUCAUCGCAAGCUUGCAGAGCAGAGUGCAGAGAGCAACGGAACCCCAACAGCUUUUGCACGCACGCGCGCGUCAGAGCAGUCUCAGCCUCUCAGGCGGCACUGCAGCAGGCGUACGUCGGUUCAGUCGCUCGUCAGAGUGAAAGCUCUCAUCAUAGGAGCGAUCGAAGCUGGCUGAGGAGACCAAUGCUGACACCCCUGAAGAGAUCCUACUAGCGUAGCACAACGAGGGUGACAUUUCGAAAAUGAUGUGUGUGGGUGACACCUGAGCUAAUUAACCGGCCGGUACAGAGAAAUACUACUACUGAGAAAGUUAAUCUAAGCUAAGGUAGCUAGCUAGCUCCUACUCCAGCUAGCAUGCGCGCCCUCGCGCAAAGGUCAAAACGAUCGGCCUGCCAUGAACAGAGUCCUGCCUGCCGUCUUGUUCCUAGCUUCUUGAUGCUACUACUAUCUACUCCUACGUGCCUCAAAAGGAUUUCAAAGAAGAAGACCGAUGCUUCCUUCCUUCAUUCAGCACUGACACCUGCUUCUGCUGCCAUGGAGUAGUACUGCCGCAUCAGCUGCCUUCAAGAAUCAAAGAUCAGUUUAAUUAAUUCCCUUUCCCCAGGUAGUAGGUCUGAGUCGCUUAGAGUACCUGUUAGCUACUGUUACCAGCUUAAAAUUAAGUAGCACCCCGUAAUUCCCUUUCC